GCUGGGUGUGGUGGCGCACACCUGUAGUCCCAGCUACUCGGGAGGCUGAGGCAGAAGAAUCACUUGAACCCGGGAGGCACAGGUUGCAGUGAGCCGAGAUCAUGCCACUGCACUCCAGCCUGGGUGACAGAGCAAGACUCUGUCUCAA
rnacentral:SRP_RNA from 1 species